CUAAUGUUCAAAUUAAUAGAAUAUAUGCAAUUAUGUAUGUUUUUCUGCCUAGGAAGGAAUCAUUACAAAAUCUUGGAAUUAUUUUAAAAGAUCAAGAGGCCUUAAGUAAUGGAAAAACAAAUGAAGAAAAACAAAAGAUUUGGCAGAAUAUAAUGCUGGAUCAUUUGGAAGAAGAUCCUGGAGUGGAAUGAAAAUGGAGCUAGGUGACAAGGUCAAAUCUCACUUGCACGACAUCAGAAUAUGACUAUGCUCAUCAUUUCUGUCUCUGAGUAUUCUGUUAUAUGAUAGAAGAAGCAGUUCCAUUCCACAGAAAAUUAUAGGCUAAAAUAAGAGCUGCAUAGUGUAUCAUCCUCCAAGGAGACAUGGGAGAACAGUUGCAGUUUUAUCAUUAAUGAAACCUGAAGGAAAUCAUGUGAUCUGCUUGGAUAUUAUUUCAAAGUUGUUUCUCAAACUAUGCUCUGACUUCUGAAUGAAAAUAAUAUAAUAAGCAAC
rnacentral:lncRNA from 1 species